rnacentral:lncRNA from 1 species
AAUAAAAUAGUUCACGCUUAAUAGUUUUGCUCAAAUAUAGGAUACAUCAUCGAAGCUGAACAAAUAUAUAUAUUUUUAGAAACUUUUAUUAGUUAGCAGCGAUUAGCUAAUAUCAAACAACUGAUAGUAUUGCAUACAAUAUGUUUCCCUAAACUGUAUGCUAUUUAGCUCUCGCCACAAAUGAUCAAAAACACAUGUGCAUUUUAAUGUAAAAUUUAACUCUUUUCUUAUCACCAAAUAAAUUUACUUUCAGAGAAAUUACAAGUUUUAAUAAAAUAGUUGAAAUAAGUGAUUGUUUAUGACUAGGUGAAAAUUAGAUGAAAAAAACAUAUAAUUAAUAAUUUAUAUAUCUAUUUCUCUCAUACUAUGGACUAUGGUCGAGCAAAAAUUAAUAAAAAAAUCAAACGGAUAGAAAUAGCUUAGUUACAAGAUUGAUGUUAAUCCAAUAAAUUUUUAAAAAAAAACACAUUGUUUCCAAAAGGGUAAGAAAUAGGUCCAAAUUAUAAUUCAGAACAUAAAUUAAUUUAAUGUAAAAUUUAAAUAAAAUUUAAAAUUCCUUCAUUAUCAAAUAAAUUUUCUUAAUAAAAUACUUUUAGUGAAUUAAUUAGAAGUCUUACUUAUUAACAAUAAAAAAAAUAUUUAUCCUUGUGCCAGAAAAAAACACCGCAUAGAUCAUAAAAAGGAAAAACUAAAACAUCCAUAAAACCACUAAACACAAAAUUCAUAGUUGUAGAGGAGGAUUAGAUACAUUGGUCCCAUAAUAUGUCACUCAAAAUCUCAAAUUCAUCCAACAAAAAGAAAUCAUCACUUUAGUUAAUUAAAUCAAGAACAAAUAAAGUUAUGGAUGAACAAAUAUGGGAAGCAAAGAAAUGUGACGGAUCAAAAGGGACGAAUAAGCUAAUUUCUGCCAUAAGGUAGAUGGUGAACUUAGGAUGUGGAGUUCCAAUAAAUACCUAAACAUACCUAAACUUUUGGCCAUUCAAAUAGAUUAGACUAAUUUUUAAUUACUUAAAAAUAUUGCAUAAAUUUAAUAACAAAAAGGAGAAUAAAAGAAACAUGAAAUUAUACCUGUCAAUCUGUUAUUGAAAAGAUAAAGCAUCUGAAGAGAAGCCAAGUUUCCAAUAACAAGAGGAAUUUCACCUGAAAUGUAUAAUUAAAUCAGUAAAUAUUUGUAAAUAUUUUCCUAGCAAACCUUUAAUUUAUUUGUUGAGCAUAUUAGUGUCGGUUGAUUUACCUAUUUUAAUUAUGACAACCCAAAAAUAUUUUAAUUAUAAUACUUGAAUUUAUAGUUGAAAUGAUGAUGACAAUUAGAAGGAAUAAAAUAGUUCACGCUUAAUAGUUUUGCUCAAAUAUAGGAUACAUCAUCGAAGCUGAACAAAUAUAUAUAUUUUUAGAAACUUUUAUUAGUUAGCAGCGAUUAGCUAAUAUCAAACAACUGAUAGUAUUGCAUACAAUAUGUUUCCCUAAACUGUAUGCUAUUUAUCUCUCGCCACAAAUGAUCAAAAACACAUGUGCAUUUUAAGCCAAACAUUUAUAAUAGUGAUAAGAGCCGUAUUGAUACAAUUUUUUGCUAAGGAAUCAGCAAACACACACACAUAUCUGCACAUAUAGACACACAUAUAUCUGUACAUACAGACUACUAGGAAUCCAAAAAUGUCGCCAGACCCUAGAUAUAGUCUAGGUGAAAAGGGACUAAGGGGUUGAACAGUAAAGAAACCAGUAAGAACUCACAUGAUAAUGAGCUUGUUGUAACCAGAAUACAAAGAUUGGGGCAGAGUCAAGUUUCCAAUUUCUAUAGGCAUAAUUCCCUCCAAAGAGUUGUUACGCAAUAAUUAAUACUUGAACCCUUUACACUUGAAUAAGCUAUUUGAAAUUCUACUGAAAUUUGAUUAUGUGUGAAGCUUAAUUAUUGCAAUUUAGAAAUGUUAUCAAACAUCUAGAUAGUAGAUGACCUAUAAUGAGAUGAUUAGUUUUGAAACUAUUUUUUUAUUGGUGAAAAGAUAUAUAAGAUUUACACAUGUAAGGAGCCUGAAUAAGAAUUAUUAUGAAAAUAUAACUAAAUGAAGCUUGAAAAAUUCCUUGCUAUUAUAGGAAUCUGCCAUUCUAAAUCAUUGUUAUAUAAUAUCAACUGUUAUAAGAUAUGAUAUUAUACUUGUUAUGUUGUUAUUAGAAAGAUUUAUGAUCUCAAGAGUAGUCAAAUUGUUAAUAGCCGAAAGGCUUUCACCUAAAACAUAUAAUCAAAUUUGUCAAAAUAGCUUGAUGAUAGAACCCAUGCACUUUAUUUGUUUCUGUAAUUAGAGAGAGAAGUCAUGUACUCUGUUUCUCUUAUAUUAAACUUAUGGCUGAAAACAGUUUGAGAUUGUUUUCUCAAAAAUACUUACUUAUAUUCUUUGACUUAUCUUUAGAUUGUGUUUAUUGUUAUCCCCUUCUUCACUAAUACUCAUCAUCAUCAUCUUUCUUGAUAAGCCAAUCUCUAAGUUUUGAAAUAUAUAAAACAAACAACGGUGACCAUUAAUAUAUCGCCCAAAAUCUCAAAAUCAUUUAACACAAAGAAAAUCGAUUAAUUUAAGCUGAGAACAAACAACAAUUGAGGGUGAACCCAAAGACAAAUGAUGGAUGAAAAGCCAAGAUGAAGAAGCCAAUUUCUACCAUAAGGUUUUGUUUGGGUAUAAGGCAAAUCAUAAGGAGAGGAAUAACUGAAUUUAAUAAAUUUUAAUCAUUCUUCAGUAUCUUUAAAAUUUUCAUUCCAAGGAUGUAGGUGCAACAUCCCUUGAUUAUAAUGUAAAAUUUCAAAUUUCCAUAGGGAUACUUGCACCCAAAGAGUUGUUAUAGAAUGAUAAAAAUGUUAACUCAUUGCACUUGAUUAAACUAUUUGGAAUUCUACCCGAAAUCUUAUCGCCUCUCAACUUUAAGACUUGCAGUUUAGAUAGGUUAUCAAAUAUUUCUAACGGUAGAUGACCUACAACGAUAAUAUUAUUACCUAGUUUUGACAUUUCUAGUUUUGAGAAAUUGCUUAGCGUAGAUAGGGAUAACACCAGUGAAGUUGUUACUAUACAAAUACAAGCUUUUAAGUUUUAGAAAUUAUUGUUGCCAAAGUUGAAAUAUUCUAACUGAUGCAAACUAGUGUACUCAAUGGGUAAACAAACAUAGAAACUAUUGUUACAAAUGUUGAGUUUGGCAAGGAAAGAAGAUUUCCAGUUGAGAUGGUAUGGUGUUUGUGAAAUCCAUACCUAAUGCAUCAAGAGUUGUGAUGUUUGAAUUUAUAAGUAAAAGUAAUCUAUGAGAUUUUAGUGCUACAAGGUUGAUUUGAUUAACGGUGAAAUUAGGUAGGGGAUAAGGCUAUUCAGAGAGGAGGGAAAUAGUUGAGUGUAAUACUUAUAUAAUGUUCAAAAUUCUACAAAUACUUUGAUUCUAUGGAUUAAGGCAUAGAACCUGACCAUUUGAGAAAGAAUUAGCCACAAUUAUUGGGCUACAACCCGAAAACAGGGACAGCCUUAACAUACCCACAACUAAUGUUCAAUAUUAUAAAUACAAAAAAAAAAUAGUCGAAGUAUUAAAUAUAUAAUUGAUUGGAGAGAAGUCAAAAGCUAAUUAAUAAUAUAUAGGGAUUGCAUAAAUGUAACAACAAAAAGAAAAAAAAUGAUAUUAUACCUGAUAAGUUAUUAUAAGCAAGAUCAAUAACUUCGAGAGUGGUCAAGUUUCCAAUAGUUGAUGGGAUUUUACCUAAAAAUAUAAAGAAAUUGGUUAAAAUAGUUUAUAGUAUGCUAUUAUUUAUUUUAUAUUAUAUGUAUAUAUUGCAUGGAAAACAAAUAUAAAUACUUAUAAUAAAUAUAUAUUUGUUGUUAAAAUGAAAAUUACUAAGUUGUCUUUGUUUAGAAAUUUAAUAAAUAAUUUUUUUAAAAUUACUAAAUAUUAAAAAAGAAUAUGAAAAGAAUAAGGUAAAAAGAUUUAUCUGGUUCCUCUCGAUUUCGAAAUUGAAUAAAUUAGUCUCCUUAAAAAAAUUGAAACAAUUUAAUCUUUGUCUAUCUUGAAAGUUAGCAAUGAAGGAAAUUAAUCAUGACGUUAAUUUAUUUUGUCAAUUGUGUAUGAUUUUUUAUUAGUAUAAUAAUAAAUUUAACUCUCAAUGUUUACAUAUUUUGUUAACUUGAUCUUGAUUCUAAAAAAAUUCAAUAAAUUUUGGCUCAACAUUUACAAAAAUAUUGCUGGUUAAAUUUAUUAAAUCAUGACCAAAUUGAUAUAACAUGUACAUUAUGAAAAAUAUUAACGAUGUGAUUAAAUAUUUUUAAUUGCUUCCUUUCGAAAUUGAUAGAGAUUAAUUAGAUACAUUGGUCCCAUAAUAUGUCACUCAAAAUCUCAAAAUCAUCCAACAAAAAGACAUCAUCAUUUAUAUAUUCUAUUUUAAAGAAGUUAUUGGAAAGAAUAAUGUACUUGAGAGAAAUAAGAUUUCUAAAAAUAGAUGAAAAAACAUAUAAUUAAUAAUUUUUAUAUAUUCUAUUUUGAUGAAAAAAUAGUCUGUAUUUUUAAUUACUUAAAAAUAUUGCAUAAAUUUAAUAACAAAAUGGAGAAUAAAAGAAACAUGAAAUUAUGCCUCUCAAUUUGUUAUUGUUAAGAGAAAGUAUUUGGAGAGAAGUCAAGUUUCCAAUAACAAGAGGAAUUUCACUUGAAACAUAUAAUUAAAUCAAUAAAUAUAUAAUUAUUUUUAUUAAUUACUUUAAGAGUUUAAUAAGGCAAAUCUAAAAGGUAGAAGAAAUAGCUAAUUAGAAGUUGUGCGUGAUUCAAAAGGGUAUAAAGUAGGUCCAAAUUAAAAAUCAAAUCUUAAUAUAUUUUAAUGUAAAAUUUAACUCUUUUCUUAUCACCAAAUAAAUUUACUUUCAGAGAAAUUACAAGUUUUAAUAAAAUAGUUGAAAUAAGUGAUUGUUUAUGAGUAGGUGAAAAUUAGAUGAAAAAAACAUAUAAUUAAUAAUUUAUAUAUCUAUUUCUCUCAUACUAUGGACUAUGGCGGAGCAAAAAUUAAUAAAAAAAUCAAACGGAUAGAAAUAACUUAGUUACAAGCUUGAUGUUAAUUCAAUAAAUUUUUAAAAAAAAACACACACAUUGUUUUCCAAAGGAGAAUAACAAAAAAUAUUUAAAAAUAUUGCAUAAAUUUAAUAACAAAAAGGAGAAUAAAAGAAACAUGAAAUUAUACCUGUCAAUUUGUUAUAGGCAAGAUAAAGCUCUCGAAGAGAAGUCAAGUUUCCAAUAACAAGAGGAAUUUCACCUGAAACAUAUAAUUAAAUCAAUCAAAAUUUGCAAAUAUUUUCCUAGCAAACCCUUAAUUUAUUUGUUGAGCGUAUUAGUGUCUGUUUGAUUUACCUAUUUUUAAAUAUGCAAGUUUUGUUUAGUUUUAUAGUACUUGUGACAACCCAAAAAUAUUUUAAUUAUAAUACUCGAAUUUAUAGUUGAAAUGAUGAUGACAAUUAGAAGGAAUAAAAUAGUUCACGCUUAAUAGUUUUGCUCAAAUAUAGGAUACAUCAUCGAAGCUGAACAAAUAUAUAUAUUUUUAGAAACUUUUAUUAGUUAGCAGCGAUUAGCUAAUAUCAAACAACUGAUAGUAUUGCAUACAAUAUGUUUCCCUAAACUGUAUGCUAUUUAUCUCUCGCCACAAAUGAUCAAAAACACGUGAAUUUUAAGCCAAACAUUUAUAAUAGUGAUAAGAGCCGUAUUGAUACAAUUUUUUGCUAAGGAAUCAGCAAACACACACACAUAUCUGCACAUAUAGACACACAUAUAUCUGUACAUACAGACUACUAGGAAUCCAAAAAUGUCGCCAGACCCUAGAUAUAGUCUAGGUGAAAAGGGACUAAGGAGUUGAACAGUAAAGAAACUAGUAAGAACUCACAUGAUAAUGAGCUUGUUGUAACCAGAAUACAAAGAUUGGGGCAGAGUCAAGUUUCCAAUUUCUAUAGGCAUAAUUCCCUCCAAAGAGUUGUUAUGCAACGAUAAAUACUUCAACUCUUUACACUUGAAUAAGCUAUUUGAAAUUCUACUAAAAUUUGAUUAUGUGUGAAGCUUAAUAAUUGCAAUUUAGAAAUGUUAUCAAACAUCUAGAUAGUAGAUGACCUAUAAUGAGAUGAUUAGUUUUGAAACUAUUUUUUUAUUGGUGAAAAGAUAUAUAAGAUUUACACAUGUAAGGAGCCUGAAUAAGAAUUAUUAUGAAAAUAUAACUAAAUGAAGCUUGAAAAAUUCCUUGCUAUUAUAGGAAUCUGCCAUUCUAAAUCAUUGUUAUAUAAUAUCAACUGUUAUAAGAUAUGAUAUUAUACUUGUUAUGUUGUUAUUAGAAAGAUUUAUGAUCUCAAGAGUAGUCAAAUUGUUAAUAGCCGAAAGGCUUUCACCUAAAACAUAUAAUCAAAUUUGUCAAAAUAGCUUGAUGAUAGAACCCAUGCACUUUAUUUUUUUCUGUAAUUAGAGAGAGAAGUCAUGUACUCUGUUUCUCUUAAUUAUAUUAAACUUAUGGCUGAAAACAGUUUUAGAUUGUUUUCUCAAAAAUACUUACUUAUAUUCUUUGACUUAUCUUUAGAUUAUGUUUAUUGUUAUCCCCUUCUUCACUAAUACUCAUCAUCAUCAUCUUUCUUGAUAAGCCAAUCUCUAAGUUUUGAAAUAUAUAAAACAAACAACGGUGACCAUUAAUAUAUCACCCAAAAUCUCAAAAUCAUUUAACACAAAGAAAAUCAUUACUUUGAUUAAUUUUAGCAGAGAACAAACAAUAAUUGUGGGUGAACCCAAAGAAAAAUGAUGGAUCAAAAGCCAAGAUGAAGAAGCCAAUUUCUACCAUAAGGUUUUGUGUGUGUAUAAGGCAAAUCAUAAGGAAAGGAAUAACUGAAUUUAAUAAAUUUUAAUCAUUCUUCAAUAUCUUUAAAAUUUUCAUUCCAAGGAUGUAGGCACUAACAUCCCUUGAUUAUAAUGUAAAAUUUCCAAUUUCCAUAGGGAUACUUCCACCCAAAGAGUUGUUAUAGAAUGAUAAAAAUGUUAACUCUUUGCACUUGAUUAAACUAUUUGGAAUUCUACGUACCCGAAAUCUUAUCGCCUCUCAACUUUAAGACUUGCAAUUUAGAUAGGUUAUCAAAAAUUUCUAACGGUAGAUGACCUACAACGAUAAUAUUGUUACCUAGUUUUGACAUUUCUAGUUUUGAGAAAUUGCUUAGGGUAGAUAGGGAUAACACCAGUGAAGUUGUUACUAUACAAAUACAAGCUUUUAAGUUUUAGAAAUUAUUGUUGCCAAAGUUGAAAUAUUCUAACUGAUGCAAACUAGUGUACUCAAUGGGUAAACAAACAUAGAAACUAUUGUUACAAAUGUUGAGUUUGGCAAGGAAAGAAGAUUUCCAGUUGAGAUGGUAUGGUGUUUGUGAAAUCCAUACCUAAUGCAUCAAGAGUUGUGAUGUUUGAAUUUAUAAGUAAAAGUAAUCUAUGAGAUUUUAGUGCUACAAGGUUGAUUUGAUUAAAGGUGAAAUUAGGUAGGGGAUAAGGCUAUUCAGAGAGGAGGGAAAUAGUUGAGUGUAAUACUUAUAUAAUGUUCAAAAUUCUACAAAUACUUUGAUUCUAUGGAUUAAGGCAUAGAACCUGACCAUUUGAGAAAGAAUUAGCCACAAUUAUUGGGCUACAACCCCAAAACAGGGAACGCCUUAACAUACCCACAACUAAUGUUCAAUAUUCUAUAAAUACAAAAAAAAAAAAACUCCAAUCUUCUUUUAUAAGUAAAAGACGGUGAUAGUCUCCAAGAGAAAGAGACAAGUAAGGAGGGUGAAGGCAAAGUGGCAAACAAUACAUUCAUUACAUAUUUAUUUUUGCAUAUCUCGUUUUAUUUACUCUUACUAGACAUUUUUUUAUAUAUAUAAAUUAUUAAAUAUUAAAUUUCAUAUAUAUAAAAAAAAUCCACAUAUUACUUAUUUUAUUAAUACAUAAACAUUUUUGCUAUACACAUGAAUGAGUGUAUAAAAUGAAUGAUUAGUAGAGUUUAAUUAUAUAUAUAAAUAUUAUAUUUUAAUAUUUAAUAAAAUUACAUCUUUUAAUUCAAAAAGAUAUUUUAAUAAUCAUUUUUAUUAGUUUUCGAGUUCAGGAUUAUAUAUAUAAUAUAUAUGUUGAGCUAGAACUACUACAAAAAGUUGACAUUUUUUAAAAGUAUGAUAAUUUGAAUAGAAGUAACAUAUGCUAAUGUGGAGUAAUUGUUCCAUAUAAUCCUUUUUAUGAUGAAAUCAUUGCUUAAUUUACUUCAUAACUUCUUACAUUUAGACAUAAUAAUCAGGUUUUAAUCUUUUAAGGUAACUUUUAUUUUAUUUACUUAAAAAAUUGCAUAAAUUUAAUUAAAAAAAAAAGAGAAUAAAAGAAACAUGAAAUUAUACCUGUCAAUUUGUUAUGGCUAAGAUAAAGAAAUUGGAGAGAAGUCAAGUUUCCAAUAACAAUAGGAAUUUCACCUGAAACGUAUAAUUAAAUCAUCACUUUAGUUAAUUAAAGCAAGAACAAAUAAAGUUUUGGAUGAACAAAUAUGAGAAGCAAAGAAAAAUGAUGGAUCAAAAGUGACGAAUAAGCUAAUUUCUGCCAUAAGGUAGAUGAUGAACUUAGGAUGUGGAAUUCCAAUAAAUUCCUAAACAUACCUAAACUUUUGGCAAUUCAAAAUCAAAUUCUAGUGGUAAAAAUUAUGAAAUGAGUAAUUAUUAUUUUUACAGCAAAAAAUGUGAGUAUAUAAAGAAAAAUAAAAAUAAAAAUGUAGAGCAAUAUAAAAAGAAGUUUUAAGGUAAGUAGGUUUGUUAUUUUUAAGAAUAAUAGUAAAGCAGGACAUUUGGUUUUGCUUAUUUAAGAAGUUGGUUCAUGCAUAGGGAUGUCAUAUUACCCAUGUUUGCAUUUAAAUAUUUGUAUUAAGAAAUAUAUUAUUUGAAAGAGUUUAAUAAUUUUAAGCUGUCUAAUAAUAAAUAAAUUAGUCUAAGAAAAAAUAAUGCAUCUUAUACCAAUAUUCUUAUAUUUGUCUAAUUUCAAAGUAGUUAAAGGAUUAAAUGUGUAAUUACUUGUAUUUUUAAAACGACAGUUAUUUUUAUUUAUAUACUUUCGGAGAAAUUAGAAGUUUUAAUAAAAUAGUUGAAAUAAGUGAUUGUUUAUGACUAGGUGAAAAUUAGAUGAAAAAAACAUAUAAUUAAUAAUUUAUAUAUCUAUUUCUCUCAUACUAUGGACUAUGGUCGAGCAAAAAUUAAUAAAAAAAUCAAACGGAUAGAAAUAGCUUAGUUACAAGAUUGAUGUUAAUCCAAUAAAUUUUAAAAAAAAAACACAUUGUUUCCAAAAGGGUAAGAAAUAGGUCCAAAUUAUAAUUCAGAACAUAAAUUAAUUUAAUGUAAAAUUUAAAUAAAAUUUAAAAUUCUUUCAUUAUCAAAUAAAUUUUCUUAAUAAAAUACUUUUAGUGAAUUAAUUAGAAGUCUUACUUAUUAACAAUAAAAAAAAUAUUUAUCCUUGUGCCAGAAAAAAACACCGCAUAGAUCAUAAAAAGGAAAAACUAAAACAUCCAUAAAACCACUAAACACAAAAUUCAUAGUUGUAGAGGAGGAUUAGAUACAUUGGUCCCAUAAUAUGUCACUCAAAAUUUCAAAUUCAUCCAACAAAAAGAAAUCAUCACUUUAGUUAAUUAAAUCAAGAACAAAUAAAGUUAUGGAUGAACAAAUAUGGGAAGCAAAGAAAUGUGACGGAUCAAAAGGGACGAAUAAGCUAAUUUCUGCCAUAAGGUAGAUGGUGAACUUAGGAUGUGGAGUUCCAAUAAAUACCUAAACAUACCUAAACUUUUGGCCAUUCAAAUAGAUUAGACUAAUUUUUAAUUACUUAAAAAUAUUGCAUAAAUUUAAUAACAAAAUGGAGAAUAAAAGAAACAUGAAAUUAUACCUGUCAAUUUGUUAUUGUUAAGAUAAAGCUCUCGAAGAGAAGUCAAGUUUCCAAUAACAAGAGGAAUUUCACCUGAAACGUAUAAUUAAAUCGGUCAAAAUUAUGGAUCAAAAGGGACAAAUAAGCUAAUUUCUGCCAUAAGAUAAAUGGUAACUUAGGAUGUGGAGUUCCAAUAAAUACCUAAACUUUUGGCAAUUCAAAUAGAUUAUACUAAUUUUUAAUUACUUAAAAAUAUUGCAUAAAUUUAAUAACAAAUUAGAGAAUAAAAGAAACAUGAAAUUAUACCUGUCAAAUUGUUAUUGCUAAGAUAAAGAAAUUGGAGAGAAGUCAAGUUUCCAAUAACAAGAGGAAUUUCACCUGAAACGUAUAAUUAAAUCAUCACUUUAGUUAAUUAAAGCAAGAACAAAUAAAGUUUUGGAUGAACAAAUAUGAGAAGCAAAGAAAAAUGAUGGAUCAAAAGUGACGAAUAAGCUAAUUUCUGCCAUAAGGUAGAUGAUGAACUUAGGAUGUGGAAUUCCAAUAAAUUCCUAAACAUACCUAAACUUUUGGCCAUUCAAAAUCAAAUUCUAGUGGUUAAAAUUAUGAAAUGAGUAAUUAUUAUUUUUACAGCAAAAAAUGUGAGUAUAUAAAGAAAAAUAAAAAUAAAAAUGUAGAGCAAUAUAAAAAGAAGUUUUAAGGUAAGUAGGUUUGUUAUUUUUAAGAAUAAUAGUAAAGCAGGACAUUUGGUUUUGCUUAUAUAAGAAGUUGGUUCAUGCAUAGGGAUGUCAUAUUACCCAUGUUUGCAUUUAAAUAUUUGUAUUAAGAAAUAUUUUAUUUGAAAGAGUUUAAUAAUUUUAAGCUGUCUAAUAAUAAAUAAAUUAGUCUAAGAAAAAAUAAAGCAUCUCAAAAUAUAUGUCUUAUACCAAUAUUCUUAUAGUUGUCUAAUUUCAAAGUAGUUAAAGGAUUAAACGUGUAAUUAAUUGUAUUUUUAAAACGACAGUUAUUUUAUUUUCUAUAUUUGUUUAUUUUUUAUUUUUUUAAAUAUAUAUUUAAACUUUGCAAAAUGAAUGGAUAUAUUUGAACAUGAAACAUGAUACAAUAAUUUAGUGAGAAUGAAAUAAAAUAAUGGUGGAAAAAUGAUAUGAUGACAUUAAACGGAAAAUAAGCGAAUGAAUAAAUAAGUAAAUAAAGGAGAAUAAGAAGAUAAAGACCAAAAACAAUUGCUAUGCUAAUGAAUAAUAUCAAUAUUUCUAUGAUGAUAACAAAACAACGAUUAAACGAUUAAACAAUAGCUAAUUAGAAGUAGUGUGUGAUUCAAAAGGGUAUAAAGUAGGUCCAAAUUAAAAAUCAAAUCUUAAAAUAAUUUAAUGUAAGAAAUUAGAAGUUUUAAUAAAAUACUUGAAAUAACUGAUUGUUUAUGACUAGGUGAAAAUUUGAUGAAAAAACAUAUAAUUAAUAAUUUAUAUAUCUAUUUCUCUCAUACUAUGGACUAUGGUCGAGCAAAAAUUAAUAAAAAAAUCAAACGGAUAGAAAUAGCUUAGUUACAAGAUUGAUGUUAAUUCAAUAAAUUUUUUAAAAAAACACAUUGUUUCCAAAAGGGUAAGAAAUAGGUCCAAAUUAUAAUUCAGAACAUAAAUUAAUUUAAUGUAAAAUUUAAAUAAAAUUUAAAAUUUUUGUUAUUAUCAAAUAAUUUUUCUUAAUAAAAUACUUUUAGUGAAAUUAGAAGUCUCACUUAUAAAUGGUAAUUUUUAUUAACAAUAAAAAAAUAUUUAUCUUUGUGCCAGAAAAAAACACCGCAUAGAUCAUAAAAAGGAAAAACUAAAACAUCCAAAAGAAAAUAUAUGUAAAACACUAAACACAAAAUUCAUAGUUGUAGAGGAGGAUUAGAUACAUUGGUCCCAUAAUGAAGAAAUCAUCACUUCAUUUAAUUAAAGCAAGAACAAAUGAAGCUAUGGAUGAACAAAUAUGGGAACCAAACAAAAAUGAUGGAUCAAAAGGGGCCAAUAAGUUAAUCAAUCAUUUUUAUUAGUUUUCAAGUUGAGGUUUAUAUAUAUAAUAUAUAUGUCAAGUUAGAAAUACUACAAAAGGUUGACAAUUUUUAAAAGUAUGAUAAUUUGAAUAGAAGUAACAUAUGCUAAUGUGGAGUAAUUGUUCCAUAUAAUCCUUUUUAUGAUGAAAUCAUUGCUUAAUUUACUUCAUAACUUCUUACAUUUAGACAUAAUAAUGAGGUUUUAAUCUUUUAAGGCAACUUUUAUUUUAUUUACUUAAAAAAUUGCAUAAAUUUAAUAAAAAAAUGAGAAUAAAAGAAACAUGAAAUUAUACCUGUCAAUUUGUUAUUGAAAAGGUAAAGCUCUCGAAGAGAAGUCAAGUUUCCAAUAACAAGAGGAAUUUCGCCUGAAACGUAUAAUUAAAUCAGUCAAAAUUUGCAAAUAUUUUCCUAGCAAACCCUUAAUUUAUUUGUUGAGCAUAUUAGUGUAUGUUGAUUUACCUAUUUUUAAAUAUGCAAGUUUGGUUUAGUUUUAUAGUACUUAUGAGAACCCAAAAAUAUUUUAAUUAUAAUACUCGAAUUUAUAGUUGAAAUGAUGAUGGCAAUUAGAAGGAAUAAAAUAGUUCACGCUUAAUAGUUUUGCUCAAAUAUAGGAUACAUCAUCGAAGCUGAACAAAUAUAUAUAUUUUUAGAAACUUUUAUUAGUUAGCAGUGACUAGCUAAUGUCAAACAACUGAUAUAUCUGCACAUAUAAUUAGCAUUAAUCUUAUAAACUUUUAUUAGUUAGCAGUGACUAGCUAACUUAGAAACUUUUGUUGUAUAUUAUUAGUUUGCAUACAAUAUGUUUCCCUAAACUGUAUGCUAUUUAUCUCUCGCCACAAAUUAUCAAAAACACGUGCAUUUUAAGCCAAACAUUUAUAAUAGUGAUAAGAGCCGUAUUGAUACAAUUUUUUGCUAAGGAAUCAGCAAACACACACAUAUCUGCACAUAUAGACACUCAUAUAUCUGCACUUAUAGACUACUAGGAAACCAAAAAUGUCGCUAGACCCCAGAUAUACUCUAGGUGAAAAGGGACUAAGGAGUUGAACAGUAAAGAAACUAGUAAGAACUCACAUGAUAAUGAGCUUGUUGUAACCAGAAUACAAAGAUUGGGGCAGAGUCAAGUUUCCAAUUUCUAUAGACAUAAUUCCCUCCAAAGAGUUGUUAUGCAAUGAUAAAUACUUCAACUCUUUACACUUGAAUAAGCUAUUUGAAAUUCUACUAAAAUUUGAUUAUGUGUGAAGCUUAAUAAUUGCAAUUUAGAAAU